GUACAGUGAUGCUGUCAGGAAGCAUUUCCUUCUCUAGCCUGUCCGGGAAACACACACUCUACAGACACACUCUCAGGCUCUCUGCCUGUCUACAGCUACCAUACCGACACUUCUAGCUCUAGAUCAGACAGCUGCCAGAUGAAUCAGACCAUGCAACCCUCCCACAGCUCUCAUCCCAGGACACCUCUCAGUUCUGUCCAUCUGCGGGCCACAGAGACUGGCUCUGCCCUGUGUGUCUGCAAACUGCCAGCUUCCCUGUACAGACCAACUGGGGCCAUCUAUACUGUGCUCCCUGUCUGAUCUGUACUGGAGACUUGGGUCCUGGCUGGAUGCCAUCAGCUGCCCUCUGUGUAGACAAAGGGGAAGAAAGACACACCCAACUGUAGAAACAUCCAUUAUUACCAUGAUAUUACACUUGUUAUCCGACAAGAAAAAUAGCAAAAUUAUGUUGAAUAAAAGUGAUAAUGGUUCAGAAUUGA